GGGACAAAUUCCUAUAAGGAGGGCAAAUGUAGUACCCCGCGCAUUGACCCCGGGCAAGAAAGAAGGGCAAGAGAAGAAGAAGAGAGAAUGGUGCGCGAAAUGAAAGGAAGGACGGGUAUUUAUAAUCUGCGGAAGCUAGAGUAGAGCCCAAUUCUUAAAACU
rnacentral:sRNA from 1 species